GACGAACGCUGGUGGCGUGCUUAACACAUGCAAGUCGAACGGAAAGGCCCUGCUUUUGUGGGGUGCUCGAGUGGCGAACGGGUGAGUAACACGUGAGUAACCUGCCCUUGACUUUGGGAUAACUUCAGGAAACUGGGGCUAAUACCGGAUAGGAGCUCCUGCUGCAUGGUGGGGGUUGGAAAGUUUCGGCGGUUGGGGAUGGACUCGCGGCUUAUCAGCUUGUUGGUGGGGUAGUGGCUUACCAAGGCUUUGACGGGUAGCCGGCCUGAGAGGGUGACCGGCCACAUUGGGACUGAGAUACGGCCCAGACUCCUACGGGAGGCAGCAGUGGGGAAUAUUGCACAAUGGGCGGAAGCCUGAUGCAGCAACGCCGCGUGCGGGAUGACGGCCUUCGGGCUGUAAACCGCUUUCGCCUGUGACGAAGCGUGAGUGACGGUAAUGGGUAAAGAAGCACCGGCUAACUACGUG
rnacentral:rRNA from 1 species